rnacentral:rRNA from 1 species
UACGGAGGGCGCGAGCGUUACCCGGAUUUACUGGGCGUAAAGGGCGUGUAGGCGGCUUGGGGCGUCCCAUGUGAAAGGCCACGGCUCAACCGUGGAGGAGAGUGGGAUACGCUCAGGCUAGACGGUGGGAGAGGGUGGUGGAAUUUCCGGAGUAGCGGUGAAAUGCGCAGAUACCGGGAGGAACGCCGAUGGCGAAGGCAGCCACCUGGCUCACUUGUGACGCUGAGGCGCGAAAGCGUGGGGAGCAAACCGG